UAAUAAGCCUUUCCCAAUCAAAGGAUGGCGGUUCCUUCGACUUUCAUAACACGGUCUUCGAAGCAGAACAAAACCAGGACGCGCACAGAACAAUAAAAACGAAAACCAGAGACGCAGACGAUAGUUAGAGCUCGAAGAAUGGAGGAAAUAGACGAAACGGAAGCCCAACCUCAGGUCUAUAUGGCGUGCUUCCUACAUGGCCAUCGGGUUGGGAUUUCUUACUAUGAUUCCAGUAUUCGCCAACUGCAUGUGCUUGAAGUUUGGGAAGAUGGAAGCUCAGACUUCCCCCUAAUUGAUCUGGUAAAAUAUCAGGCGAAGCCUUUGACCAUUUACGCAAGCACUAAAAGUGAAGAGUCCUUCUUAUCUGCUUUACAACGAAGUGGUACUCUACUCUUUACCUGUUUGACUUAUGAGCUAAUAUACAUGUGGAAUGUGUUUAAGCUUCAAAGUGAUACAGAUGGCACAACUGAGGCUCCUACGGUGAAACUCGUAAAAAGUUCAAUAUUCAGCUAUGAGCAAGCCUGGCACAGAUUAAUUUACCUUCGAGUGACAGGAAUGGAUGAUGGGCUAAAUAUCAAGGAGAGGGUUUCUUAUCUGAGUUCCAUGAUGGACAUAGGAAGUGAUGUUCAAGUUCGAGCAAGUGGAGGUCUUCUUGCCAUAUUAGAAAGUGAAAGGAUUGUAGAUACCCUUGAGCAAAAGGAAUAUGGAAGUGCAUCAAUUACUAUCGAUUCUGUUGUGGAAAUUUCACUAAACAAAUUUCUUAAACUUGAUGCAGCAGCUCAUGAAGCAUUGCAGAUUUUUCAAAUCGACAAACAUCCAAGCCAUAUGGGCAUUGGCGGGGCAAAAGAAGGGUUCUCUGUGUUUGGCAUGAUGAAUAAGUGUAUGACGCCCAUUGGUAAACGUCUUCUGAGAAACUGGUUCCUGAGGCCUUUGCUGGAUGUGGAAAAUUUGAAUGGUCGACUCAAUGCUAUUUCAUUCUUUCUUUGUUCUGAAGAAUUGAUGGUUUCUUUGCGAGAAACAUUGAAGUCUGUCAAGGACAUUAAGCAUAUACUCAGAAAGUUCGACUCACCAAGCUCCCUGUCUACUGUUGGUGACUGGGCAGCCUUUCUGAAGAGUGUUUGUGCACUCUUGCAUUUGGGAAAGAUAUUUGAAGUUGGAAUUUCUGAAAAUCUUCAAGAGCAUGCUAAGUACUUAAAUCUGAACAUUGUUGAACAGGCUUGUUCAUGCAUCACAACAGAGCUGGCUUAUGUCUAUGAAUUGGUGAUUGGUGUUAUUGAUGUUAAUAGAAGUAAAGAGAAGGGUUACGGGACAAUAGUGAAAGAAGGUUUCUGUGACGAGUUGGAUGAGCUUAGGCAAAUCUAUGAAGAGCUUCCAGAUUUUCUGCACAAGGUUACUUUAUUGGAGCUUGCACAACUACCCCAUUUGGGUAAAGAGAAGCUCGUUCCUUGUAUUGUUUACAUACAUCAAAUAGGGUACUUGCUGUGUAUUUUUGAAGAGAAGCUUGAAGAAACCUCACUAUUGAAGCCUCAAGAUUUUGAAUUCAUGUUUUCUGAUGUUGAUGGAGAGACUAAAAGAUAUUUCUAUCGUACCCCAAAGACAAGAGAAUUGGAUGAACUUCUGGGAGACAUUUAUCACAAGAUACUUGAUAUGGAAAGGGCAAUCACUAGGGACUUGGUUUCUCAUGUGCAUCUCUUUUCUGACCAUCUGCUUAAGGCUAUAAAUUUUGCGGCUGAACUUGAUUGCAUUUUGUCACUGGCCAUAGUUGCUCAUCAAAACAAUUAUGCGAGGCCUAUUUUGACUGAAGAAACCUUGCUUGACAUUCAAAAUGGAAGACAUGUUUUGCAGGAAAUGACAGUAGACACAUUUAUUCCUAAUGAUACAAAGAUUCUUCAUGAUGAAAGGAUCAUUAUCAUCACAGGUCCAAAUUAUUCCGGGAAGAGUAUAUAUAUAAAGCAGGUUGCUUUAAUUGUUUUCCUUUCUCACAUCGGAAGUUUUGUACCAGCAGAUGCUGCCACUGUGGGAUUGACUGAUAGGAUAUUCUGUGCAACUGGAAGCAAGCUUAUGACUGCAGAACAAUCAACAUUUAUGAUAGAUCUGCAUCAAGUAGGAUUGAUGCUAAGGCAAACAACUUCACGAUCUUUGUGUCUGUUGGAUGAAUUUGGUAAAGGUACUUUAACUGAAGAUGGCAUUGGUCUACUUGGUGGAACUGUAAAUUACUUUGUUGCAUGUGAUGACCCUCCAAAGGUUCUGAUGUCCACUCAUUUGACUGAGUUAUUUAAUGACGGUUGCUUACCAAAGUCUGAGAAGGUGAAAUUUUUCACCAUGAGUUUGCUGAGACCUGACAACAACUCUACAGACAUCAAGGACAUUGUGUUUCUCUAUCGGUAUAUUUCUGUGACCUUUUUGCAUCAUGUUACAGCAAGGUAACAUAUUUUACCCCUUGCCACUGGGGCUACCCUGGGUGUUAACGCACACCCCUCUUUAAAAAGUGAAGCUUGUAGGUUCAAGAGGGAGGACUGAAUGUUGAGGAAUCAACUAGAAUUAGUCGCCUCUUUGUACUUAAAAACAGAAAAUAACAUUUUAUCACUCAAUGAAAAGGAGAAGAUUGCCAUUGGUUGAUGAUUCAAUUGUUUUCUUUUCCGAUGUUGGGAUUAUUGAUGUUAGGGAAUAUUUUCACUGCAUUAAUGGUUUAACAAUAUGAUGGGAUUUUGGGCACUGCUCAGCAUGGAUCUCUUUCUCCCUACUCCACACUUCUGCAUUGCUGAUUGUAGCAUCCAAGUUGUCAUGUUUGUAGGCAAGAGGGCGGUUAGUAUGUUUGUGACCUCAGAUGUACAUUCUUGAGCCAUUAACAUAUCAACAGUGAACUUCUCAUAUUGGGCUUCUUUGCCCAGUGAUGGCUCUUAUUUCUUGACGGAUGUUGAAAGUGAUUCUACUAAUGUUUAGAAGACUUUUUACAGGACUCCAUUGUGCUCUGCUAGCUGGCGUCCCCGAGGAAGUUAUUAAGAGAGCAGCAUUCAUAUUGGAUACUGUCGAGAGCAGCAGUUAUGUUGAGCGAUUGUGCAAUGAGAAUUUAUCAGCCCAGGAUCAGCUAAACAAGGACACGGUUGACCGAAUGCUGGAAUUUGAUGUUUUCAAGGGUGACAUCAAUCUCUUCUUCCAGGAUAUAUUCCCUUGUUAAUCCAAAGAACAUCGAAUGUAUCUUUUGUCUAUCGUUUUAGAAGCAUCACCUUACCAACUACAAAAUUUAUGUCUCCUUUCAGCAUGAUUUCUCCACUUGAUUUCCCAGCCCAUUUACAUACGAUGCGAUAGAUAUAGAACAUGAGGGAUAAUUCUUUGGUCCCUUGGGAUGGUUUCAUAGAGGAAGACAACAUUGUCAUAAACUUCAGUCUUGGUAUAUUUUCGUGGUUGGUUCCUCCAAGAAAUAUCUUGAUAAAAAUCCAAGGUUUUGAUCU